rnacentral:misc_RNA from 1 species
AUAGCAUAAUAUAUGUUAAACAAUAGUUGAAUUCAUAAAAUUUAUUUUCUUUUUUUUAUAUAAAAAAAUAACAUUUAAAAUAAUUCACAUAAUUAAUUUUAAUUGCUCUAAAUAUCGUUUGCAUGUAAUAAAAGAGUAGACGUAAAUGUUGCAAUAAUAAUAAAAAUAAAGCAUACAUUUUAGUUCAAUAGUGAUCUGAUGGAUGAGCCCUCUCUGUUGUAUUCAAAAUAAUUAUGAACUUACAAUUCUAAAAAUAUGUUCAAUCUGUGU